CCUCGUGGUCAGGCCAGGUUCCGCCCCAGUUUCAGCCCACGUGAAUGUUAUUUUCCACGGCACGAAAGAGUUAAAAGGGGGUGAGGGCAGGCUCGGGGCCCAGCCAGCACAAACCAGGAGCCGGGGCUACUGGGAACCUCAGGAGGCAACUGCAGCCCAGGGCAGAGCUAGAGCCCGGCCCGGGGCAACAGCUGGAACCACCCCGAGGAGCAGGCAAGUCCUGACCCCUGCAGAGGACUUUUUAAGGGGUUCUGAAGGAGGGCAUCGUGCCUAGAACGGGAAGUGUCAUCGGAUCCCUGCGGUGGGACUUGUUGCCAACACAUGCAGCAGAAGCUGACAGUUUAGCUGAGCUUCACAAGGGGCGAUAUCCUUGGAGGAAAGGGGCAUUGAUUGCUAUCGAACCCAGGAGCAACUGGCACAGCCUCUGAAUCAGACCUUCCUGGACCUUAAUGCUGGAGGCUACAAGAAAGCAACAGUGGAAAAAGACCCUAGUCAGACCUGCUCACCCCCACCUUCCAGCCUUUGCUUGCUGUAUGACAGGAUACUGGGCAAGAUGGACCUGUGGUCUGACCCAGUAAACAGCAGUUAUGUUCUUAUAGAGACUUGGGGGUGGUUUUGCCCUGCACCCUGCAAGGGCUGGAGGAACAUCUCUUCUGCUAGCAGCUCCAUGGCACCUAUUAUGGCCAGAAAGGAGGUUGUGGCCCAGAAGCUGUCUUCAGCAGCACAGCCUAGAGCCAGCAUUGUCCCCCCCACUUGGAGUCAGGCCCCAACCUCCUCCACAGGGCUGGGAGAUGCUGAGAAAAGCCAGGGGGGGGAGGAAGAAGAGAGCUCUCCCCAGCAUGUAAUUUAUAGGAGAGAUUUAUUUGAAGAAAUAUUACAACAUAUAAAAACUACAUAAAGUAUUAAUUUCCACUUGUAUAAAGUGGUCGAUUAUUUUCAAUACAAGGCAUA